AUGAUGGACUAUAGGACAGGGCUGCUGCUUUUAACUGUCUUCUGGGCAGGUGUUGAUGCUCAGACUCUGACAGAAUCUGAACCAGUGGUUAAAAGGCCUGGAGAAUCCCACAAACUGACCUGUACAGCCUCUGGGUUCACAUUCAGUGACUACUGGAUGCACUGGAUAAGACAGGCUCCUGGAAAAGGACUGGAGUGGCUUGCUGCUGAUUAUGCUGGUAGCACCACUGACUACUCUCAGUCAGUCCAAGGCCGGUUUACCAUCUCCAGAGAUGACAGCAGACAGCAGGUGUAUCUGCAGAUGAACAGUCUGAAGACUGAAGAUUCUGCAGUUUAUUAUUGUGCUUGA